ACAUAUAUGAUUACCUCAAGCUAUGGAGGGUUUGUAUAGGGCUCUCCUUAAUAAAUUUCACUAUAUGCGGG
rnacentral:tRNA from 1 species